rnacentral:rRNA from 1 species
AAACUUUCAACAACGGAUCUCUUGGUUCUGGCAUCGAUGAAGAACGCAGCAAAAUGCGAUAAGUAAUGCGAAUUGCAGAAUUUCCGUGAGUCAUCGAAUCUUUGAACGCACAUUGCGCCCUUUGGUAUUCCGAAGGGCAUGCCUGUUCGAGCGUCAUUAU